ensembl:lncRNA novel transcript
GACUCCACGGUAACAGUCUCUUGGUGAAUGAUUCCCAGGGCAAGCAUGCUGGGUUGUCCACCUCUGUUCAAGUCAAUCAUUUUCCUUCCUAAAUCGAAGAAACUGUUUUUCCUCCUUCUAGAACUGUUACCUUCUUCUUGGGCUUUUAACACCUUAUACUUCAUUUGACUGACCACUUCCCCAACAGAAUGGUGUCACUCUGACUUCUACUGUUGAUUUUUUGAAAAGUGUUGAAUAUCUAAUGUAAUUUACUGAAUACUAUACUGCAAGUGAAAAACAGAAUGAUUGUACGGGCACUCAAAGUACGGCUUCUACUGAAUACAGAUGGCUUUUGCACCAUCAUCGAGUCAAAAAAUUCAAAAGGCAGAGAAGACUCCUCACUAGGACACCCAGCUUGUGAGGCGACUGACUUCGAGUUUGUACUUGGCUGUCAUGCACCCGGGAUGCACCAGGCACAAGUCACAGCCACACUGUUUUUGGAGGUGUCACCAGUCAACGAGGUGAAGUACAGUGAGGCCCCAGUUCCUGCACUAUGGACUAGUGAACAGUCAAAGUGUGUGUGCAUUUUUAGGGAUUGACAAAUGAAAAUAGCAGAACUGUGCCAAACGAAACGAUUUAAUCUGUUCAUAUAGGGUAGGGGUGGAGCAACAGCAGAGAACACUUCAGGGUUUCUCACCUAGGGUGCUCUGUGAUGACUCAGGGACUGGCCUGGCUCCUUUGGGUCAUUCAUCAAAGCCAUUUUGAAGCAAGGACUGCUUAGUAGGAGCUGAGCUUUCCACCAGAAAGACAACUUAGGAAAUAGCUCCUGGCUGUGAGAACCUAAGAGGUAUGCAUGGUUCUGGAUGGGAAUCUCAAAGAUGAUGGCGGUCAUCAAAUGGAACUGAAGCAGGUAGAGAAAGUGGUUUCAAAAGGAUCUAAAGAUGACGGAAAACAUUUCAACAGUUAAACCACUUAGAUAACUAAUAGGAAGAAUUCACUGGGAAGAAAAAUCCCCACGGGAAGCUCCAGAGAAUGGGCUAUAUUGCUGACCAGGAAGGGAGAUAUAGGAAGCCUAUAAAGUUGGCUUAAACCUCAUGUUGAUUAAACCUCAUGGUGUUCACAGACUUGAGCUGCAAGUGAGAAAAUCCAAUGGGAAAACAUUCCAGAUUGCUAUAAAGCAAUUCAAGGGAAUGGCACUGGCUUGUAGGAAAUGUAUUGGGAAUGAGAUAGAGAAAUCCACAUUCAACAAGAAACAGGAAUCAUUAAACAUGCAUUAACUCAAAU